rnacentral:tRNA from 1 species
GUAAAGAUAGACUAAUUAAAGUCUUUAGACUCAUAAUCUAAAAAUACAAUAUUUUGUUUUUUAUA